AUACUAGUGAUACGAUACGCUACGAUCCUUUUCAGGAACUGUCGCGUGUCAAAAAACCCAAUGAAAAUGAUUAAUUUCAACAUUUUACAUAACUUACUUGAUGACCUGCAUUGCCAGGAUUUUAUGUUAAAUCCAAUUAGAAAACAAAAGAAAACAAUCUUAUAACAGCCCAACAACAAAUGUGCAUAAACCCCAAUCCUUUAAUCUUUUAACAACUAAUCCAGAUAGCAACCUGGCAACAAUAGUUCAUGACCGUUAUCUCCCGCCGGCACUCAAAAAUUUUGAAUUUUUUUUUUCUCCUUCUCUUGGCUCUGUUCAAUUGUCCUACCCGAUCUUUGCAAACUCAGCCAGUGCCCUCCCCUUGUCAAUAGAAGCAAUAUCUUUAUUGGCCUAUCCCCAUUGUUGUUUCCUCUCAUUUCCCCUACUAAUACAAAUCCUGUACCUAUCAAUUCCAACCCAUUUGCGCUCCUCAAUGGAGAAUAUUCAUUCUUGGAUCCUCUGUAUCUCUCUCCUCCUCUUGAUCUACUCUUCAACCUCUGAAGAAGACAGUAUCAAGCGCUCUCUCAUUGCCUUCCUCGAAAAACUCUCCCCUUCAAACCCCCGUAUUGCUCAAGAUCUUCGUUGGAAUUUUUCAACCAAUCCUUGUGUUGAUCGAUGGAGAGGAAUCGGUUGCAAUAAUCGAAACACUUCAGUACGAAGAAUAGUACUUGAAGAUUUAGAACUCGGAGGAUCAAUUGAUGCUAGUCUACUCUGCAAAGCUAAGUCUCUUGUAGUCCUUAGCCUUCAGAAUGAUAACCUUCAAGGGAAUCUGCCACCUGAAAUCUCCAAUUGCAGUCAACUUACGCAUAUUUUUCUCGAUAGAAAUCGACUUUCAGGAAAUUUACCCUCCUCUCUAUCUUCUUUCAAUAACCUGAAGAAGUUCGAUGUCUCUGAUAAUGAUUUUUCAGGCGAGGUUCCCAAAGGCCUAGGCAAGAUUUCAGGCUUAGUAUCCUUCCAGGUUCAGGACAACAAACUGAACGGUACAAUACCCGAGUUUGAUUUCAGUAAUCUUCAAGAAUUCAAUGUCUCCAAUAAUUUUUUCUCCGGUCCAAUCCCUAAAGGCGGUGAUCGCUUUGGCCUCAGUAGCUACUCCGGGAAUUUUGGCUUCUGUGGAGGACCAUUUGAUGCAAUUUGCUCUUCGAUUCCUGCUCCAUCCCCUCUUUCAGAAGAGAACUCGAAGAGUGAAGGCGAUAAGGCCAUUCUAUUCUCAGGUUAUAUCCUGCUAGGCCUUUUUCUCCUAGUAUUCAUCAUGUACAUUCUUGUUAAGAGAAAGAGGACCCAAAAGAAAAAAUCAGGAAAUGCAAAGGAAUCAAGUACUUCAACCGAACAAAAGGCUAGUAGAUCAGAGUACUCGAUCUCAUCAAAUGAAGGUAGUGCUGUUGCCACAACAGGCUCAAUGUCUUUGAUAGUAUUGAAGAAUCCAGCAGUGAAGGAGUUGAAGUUUGAGGAGCUACUGAAAGCUCCAGCUGAGUUAUUGGGAAGAGGGAGAUUCGGGACUUUGUAUAAGGUUAUGAUGAGUGAUGGGAAUUUGCUUGCAGUUAAGAGGAUCAAGGAUUGGACAAUAUCGGCACAGGAGUUUCAGAGGAGGAUGGAGAGGUUGGAUAGAGCAAAGCAUCCCAGAGUUCUUUCAGCGAUUGCGUUUUAUUGCUCGAAGCAGGAGAAGCUGGUGGUUUAUGAGUAUAAGCCUAAUGGGAGCCUGUUUAAGCUUCUCCAUGGUAACCAAGAGAACUGCACAUUUGAUUGGAACAGUAGGCUAAGCGUAGCUGCAGGCAUCGCAAAGGGCAUGUCAUUUAUGCACAGAGACCUACAAGAGGUCGGUAUAGGCCAUGGCAAUCUCAAAUCCUCCAACAUCCUAAUGGACACCAACAUGGAGCCCUGCAUCAGUGAAUAUGGUCUCCUUGCAAUCCCGAGGCAAACCAGCCUCAACAACGGUCGAAAAUCAAUUAAGCCCAUAAAUGACACAGCCCUCAAAGAUGAUAUUUUCAGCUUUGGUGUCAUCCUUCUUGAGUUACUUACCGGAAAAAUUGUUCAGAAUAAUGGUUUUGAUUUGGCUCAGUGGGUGCAUUCUGUGGUGAGGGAGGAAUGGACAGUUGAAGUUUUUGAUAAGGGACUGCUCUCUGAAGGAGUGCCUGAAGAUAGAAUGGUGAAGCUUCUUCAGAUUGCAUUGAAGUGCAUAUACAAAUCUGUCGAUGCUCGACCAACUAUGAGCCAAGUUGCCGAGAUGAUACAUUCAUUGAAGGAAGAAGAGGAUAGGUCUGUUGUGUCUGAAAUUGAUUCAAGAGAUACUUAAAAUUAGGGAGUCUAUUUUCAUAUUGUCAUGGAAUUUAUGUAUAUGUUCCGUUUGACUAUUAUUAUUUGCUAGUGUAUAUGUGUUGGUCACAUAUGAGGAGGUGGAAAAACAUUGUUUAUUUGUUACACUGAUGACAUAGGUGGUAUUAGUCCAAAU